CCUANGGGAGGCUGCAGUGAGGAAUAUUGGUCAAUGGGUGAGAGCCUGAACCAGCCAUCCCGCGUGCAGGAAGAAGGCCCUAUGGGUUGUAAGCUGCUUUUGUGCAGGAAGAAUAGUAUCCUCGUGAGGGUAUUUGACGGUACUGCGUGAAUAAGCACCGGCUAACUCCGUGCCAGCAGCCGCGGUAAUACGGAGGGUGCAAGCGUUAUCCGGAUUUAUUGGGUUUAAAGGGUGCGUAGGCGGUAUUAUAAGUCAGUGGUGAAAUCCUGCAGCUUAACUGUAGCAUUGCCAUUGAAACUGUAGUACUUGAGUUAUCUUGAGGUAGGCGGAAUGUGUAGUGUAGCGGUGAAAUGCUUAGAUAUUACACAGAACACCGAUUGCGAAGGCAGCUUACUAAGGGUCGACUGACGCUGAGGCACGAAAGCGUGGGGAUCGAACAGGAUUAGAUACCCCGNUANUC
rnacentral:rRNA from 1 species